AGUGUUCGUUUGCCAAUUCUUGACCGCAUCGAAAAUCCAAGUGUCAACUUGGUCGCAUUUCUGUUUUGCAUUUUUGUUCAAGCCCGCAGGAGUUCCAGCUAAAAUAAAAGUCCAGCAAGGAGACUUUUUGCAACGUCAUGAUCGUGCCGGAUGUGCCGCAUCGAGUAGAUCGUUUGUGUGCGGACGGGAAAGGAGAGGACAACUCGUUGAGAGGAUCGUCGUUGCGCUGAACUACGAUGUGGCCUCGGAUGUGGCUUUGGAUCCGGUGUUACCGGCGAUCCUCGAUAGGAGUUCGGAGCAGUGCAUGGUUGGA